GUUUGUACGUCCUGCGGCAGGUGCCUGGGACUGAUGUUGGAAGUCAGGUACCUGAAGUAGUGCGCAACAAAC